GUGCCAGCAGCCGCGGUGAUACGGAGGGUGCAAGCGUUAAUCGGAAUUACUGGGCGUAAAGCGCACGCAGGCGGUUUGUUAAGUCAGAUGUGAAAUCCCCGGGCUCAACCUGGGAACUGCAUCUGAUACUGGCAAGCUUGAGUCUCGUAGAGGGGGGUAGAAUUCCAGGUGUAGCGGUGAAAUGCGUAGAGAUCUGGAGGAAUACCGGUGGCGAAGGCGGCCCCCUGGACGAAGACUGACGCUCAGGUGCGAAAGCGUGGGGAGCAAACAGGAUUAGAUACCCUGGUAGUCCACGCCGUAAACGAUGUCGACUUGGAGGUUGUGGCUUCCGGAGCUAACGCGUUAAGUCGACCGCCUGGGGAGUACGGCCGCAAGGUUAAAACUCAAAUGAAUUGACGGGGGCCCGCACAAGCGGUGGAGCAUGUGGUUUAAUUCGAUGCAACGCGAAGAACCUUACCUGGUCUUGACAUCCAGGUGCUGCAUGGCUGUCGUCAGCUCGUGUUGUGAAAUGUUGGGUUAAGUCCCGCAACGAGCGCAACCCUUAUCCUUUGUUGCAACUCAAAGGAGACUGCCAGUGAUAAACU
rnacentral:rRNA from 1 species